rnacentral:lncRNA from 1 species
GCCUCCUGGCUUCCUCAGGACUUGGUCUGUGUCUCUGAAGACAGUUCUCUCCGUAUUUCCUCAACCUCUGUGAAUACAUAUGGUUGUCAACAAUCUAUUAGAAGGUCUUAGCUGUCGGAAUGGUGUGGUUAUCAAGGAAGACCACAGAAGCCCAGCUCAGCUCCCUUGGGGCAAAAAUUCACCCUACCCUGGGUGUGUAACAGCCAAGGAUGCCUCCAUUCAUCUUUCAGAAUGUCAACCUCUCACUUGAGUCUCAAAACAAACUGAAUUUUGAUGGACUUUGCACCAAUCACCACCACCACCACCAGAAGUGAGGAGAAGAAGUUGGUGGUGUUGCAAAACUAAAAAACGGGAUAAUUUUGUAUCUGUAUCCCAAAACAAUGACAGAAAGUGAUUAGAUGUUGAAAUGUUGGCUUUGUUUUAAAAAAUGAAACUAAAUGAAAUGUAAAUGGUUGAUUCCAAAUAGCAAAUAAGGAAAGAUGUGAUUAGAUGUUUGGGGUCCUGGUGAUUGAUCUUUGUGCCUCAUUGUUGACCUGCUUUAGGCCCUUAAUUUCUGCCUUGUACACUCUUUAGAGAUGGAUUUGUGACUGUGUGGUGCAGGCUGCUGUCCUCCAGAUUCUUUGCCUUCUUCUCCCUGGUGAAGGUAAAAUGCAGAAUAAAGCUGAUUGU